rnacentral:rRNA from 1 species
UACGUAGGGACCGAGCGUUGUCCGGAAUCAUUGGGCGUAAAGAGCGUGUAGGCGGCCACUUAAGUCCUGCGUGAAAUCUUGCGGCUCAACCGCAAGCGGUCGUGGGAAACUGGGUGGCUAGAGUGCGGGAGAGGAGAGUGGAAUUCCUGGUGUAGCGGUGGAAUGCGCAGAUAUCAGGAAGAACACCCGUGGCGAAGGCGGCUCUCUGGACCACAACUGACGCUGAUGCGCGAAAAGCUAGGGGAGCAAACAGG